rnacentral:rRNA from 1 species
UGCCAGACUCCUACGGGAGGCAGCAGUGGGGAAUAUUGGGCAAUGGGCGCAAGCCUGGCCCAGCAGCGCCGCGUGAAGGAAGAAGGCUUUCGGGUUGUAAACUUCUUUUCUCAGGGACGAAGAAAGUGACGGUACCUGAGGAAUAAGCCACGGCUAACUACGUGCCAGCAGCCGCGGUAAUACGUAGGGGGCAAGCGUUAUCCGGAUUUACUGGGUGUAAAGGGAGCGUAGACGGCGAUGCAAGCCAGAUGUGAAAGCCCGGGGCUCAACCCCGGGACUGCAUUUGGAACUGUGUGGCUGGAGUGUCGGAGAGGCAGGCGGAAUUCCUAGUGUAGCGGUGAAAUGCGUAGAUAUUAGGAGGAACACCAGUGGCGAAGGCGGUCUGCUGGACAGCAACUGACGCUGAGGCGCGAAAGCGUGGGGAGCAAACAGGAUUAGAUACCCUUGUAG